rnacentral:rRNA from 1 species
GUGGGGAAUUUUGCGCAAUGGGGAAACCCUGACGCAGCAACGCCGCGUGAGUGAUGAAGGCCUUCGGGUCGUAAAGCUCUGUCAGAGGGGAAGAAGUGUGAGGUGGCUAAUAUCCAUUUCACUUGACGGUACCUUCAAAGGAAGCACCGGCUAACUCCGUGCCAGCAGCCGCGGUAAUACGGAGGGUGCGAGCGUUGUUCGGAAUUAUUGGGCGUAAAGCGCGUGUAGGCGGUUUUUUAAGUCUGAUGUGAAAGCCCGGGGCUCAAACCGGGAAGUGCAUUGGAGACUGGGAGACUUGAAUACGGGAGAGGGCAGUGGAAUUCCUGGUGUAGGAGUGAAAUCCGUAGAUAUCAGGAGGAACACCGGUGGCGAAGGCGGCUGCCUGGACCGAUAUUGACGCUGAGACGCGAAAGCGUGGGGAGCAAACAGGAUUAGAUACCCGAGUAGUCC